rnacentral:rRNA from 1 species
AUACGGAGGAUGCGAGCGUUAUCCGGAUUUAUUGGGUUUAAAGGGUGCGUAGGCGGAAAGUUAAGUCAGCGGUGAAACGCAGGUGCUCAACACCUGACCUGCCGUUGAGACUGGUUUUCUAGAAUGCGGAUGCUGUGGGAGGAAUGUGUGGUGUAGCGGUGAAAUGCAUAGAUAUCACACAGAACACCGAUUGCGAAGGCAUCUCACAAAUCCGCGAUUGACGCUGAGGCACGAAGGUGCGGGGAUCGAACAGGAUUAGAUACCCUGGUAGUCCGCACAGUAAACGAUGAUAACUCGCUGUCGGCGAUAGACAGUCGGUGGCCAAGCGAAAGCGAUAAGUUAUCCACCUGGGGAGUACGACCGCAAGGUUGAAACUUAAAGGAAUUGACGGGG